CCCGCCCGCCGGGCGGGAGGUUGCGCGAGCGCUUUCUCGGGAGAUAGUCAACCGCCGGCCUGCCGGCAGGAGGGGACGCAGGGACCGAGUAGUAAACGGAAAAGACGUUAAAAACCAAGGGGCCAUGUGUGAAAGCGAUCACCGCCGGCCGCGCUCCUCUGGCUGUUACACUCAACCGGCUCAGCUGGUCUCCCGCCCCCCCCCACGGGAGGGCAAAAGCUGAGUGGAGGAUGCGGGCAUCGAUCCCGCUACCUCUCGCAUGCUAAGCGAGCGCUCUACCAUUUGAGCUAAUCCCCCGGCUGUGGCUGCCUCCCUUCCAGUUACCUUACACGUUGUUACAAGAUGUCUGCUGACCAAUGGAGAACCAAAAUUCAGGACAUUUAUUUAGCACCAGAGUAUGAGAGAACCAUAGGCGAAGCUUUAAAAGAACAUAGGUAGUGCUCAGGAAUUCAGUCUGCCUUCGAAUAAGCCUCCCACCGUCCAAGGUGGGUGGAGGUUAAAAAGAUUGGUCGAAGUCCUUCGAGCCGGAAUCGAACCAGCGACCUAAGGAUUGCCACAGCUCAUCCACUACAGUCCUCCGCUCUACCAACUGAGCUAUCGAAGGCCCCGCUGGAGAAGCCGUCCGCAGAUUGCCCUCUAAUACUUACCGAGGCCUCACUACCCCGGGAUCGCAGAGCUUUCCAGAGCCUGGACUCCACUUUCUAUAGAAGCUCACACGGGCCGAGCCCCUCCAGACCACACGCAACAAGAAAGGCAGAGACGAGUGAGAGCAAAGGACCCACUUCCCAACCCCGGACGGAGGAAACGCGGGCAAUACAUUUCCCUUCCGUUUUCCUGCUUCCCACAAAACAAUGCACCCCCUCCCGCCGCCGCUCCCGGUGGCUUCCGUAGGACUGCGGAGGCCUGGAGACCCCGCUCGCAACCCUGACCUUCUGGGCGGCAGGGCCCAGCGGGGCCGGCACCCUCGCACGCUCAGCAAUUGCAACGCGCCAGCCCCGUUCGCCAAGCCGACGGCUUGCUUUUGCUCUCUUUGCUCCCCAUUCCCCUUCGCUUUAUCCGGGGAAGCCAAUAAAACCCUACUGCUCUCGUGGUGGGAAGUACAUUCAUUCAGUCCAUUAAGCAACGUUUUGUCGGCUAUUCGUCCCGACUAGGGCAAGAAAGAUACAAACCGCAGAGCUGCUCGAGGUUUGCAGGGCGGCGCGGGAUCCAGCUGCCCCGAAACCCCGCGAGGUGGGACUGGCGGGCGGGGCCCAGAGGGGCCCUGGGCACGGCCACGUCCACCGGCCCCGCCCCUGCCCUACCCGCUGCUCACACCUUCACUCUUUCCCGGGGCUGCAAAGCCAGCCCACCAUCCUUUGCCCACCAGGAGCUCUGGGGGUUUAAAAACAAGGAACCUUGAAAACGAAAACCCAACUCUUGUGUGAAUUCUUGCUGGGUCGUCAGAUGGGGUGGGUGUGCGGGAAGACCUGACCUCCAUUUCCAGCUCCGUGGCCAGCUGCCUGUGCAACCUGGUGAUGAUUUCAAGCCCCGCACCGGUCCGACAUUUUUUGGGUUCUCGUGAGCUGUGCUUUUAAAUCCGAGGUCUGAUGCCGCUGAGCACAACACCUCUUUGCGCCCACCCACAAAGCAGGAUGGAUGUGUGUAUGAUAUGCUCAAUAAGGCAAUGGAGGCCUUGAUCAACACAGCAACUCGACCUGACAAGGACAUUCCACCCAACAGCAUCAGAACAUUCUUCUCAAGUACACACGAACACUCUCCAGGAUAGCUCACCUCAGGCAAGUCUCAACAAAUUUAAAAAGAUUGAAAUAAUACAAAGUACGAUGAAUGUAAACUACAAACUUUGGAUGACAGUGAUGUGUCGUAGGUUCACUGGCAUUGACAGUGGGUGA